rnacentral:rRNA from 1 species
AUUGAACGCUGGCGGCAUGCCUUACACAUGCAAGUCGAACGGUAACAGGUCUUCGGAUGCUGACGAGUGGCGAACGGGUGAGUAAUACAUCGGAACGUGCCCGAGAGUGGGGGAUAACGAGGCGAAAGCUUUGCUAAUACCGCAUACGAUCUCAGGAUGAAAGCAGGGGACCGCAAGGCCUUGCGCUCACGGAGCGGCCGAUGGCAGGUUAGGUAGUUGGUGGGAUGAAAGCUUACCAAGCCGACGAUCUGUAGCUGGUCUGAGAGGACGACCAGCCACACUGGGACUGAGACACGGCCCAGACUCCUACGGGAGGCAGCAGUGGGGAAUUUUGGCAAAUGGGCGCAAGCCUGAUCCAGCCAUGCCGCGUGCAGGAUGAAGGCCUUCGGGUUGUAAACUGCUUUUGUACGGAACGAAAAGACUCUGGUUAAUACCUGGGGUCCAUGACGGUACCGUAAGAAUAAGCACCGGCUAACUACGUGCCAGCCGCCGCGGUAAUAC